CUUUAGUUGUCCAUCAUUAAGUUGGGCGACUCUGUGGAGACUGCCGGUGUCAAACCGGAGGAAGGUGGGGAGUGACGUCAAGUCCUCAUGGCCCUUAUGACCAGGGCUACACACGUGCUACAAUGGCCGGUACAAAGAGUUGCGAUACAGCGAUGUGGAGCUAAUCUCAUAAAGCCGGUCUCAGUUCGGAUUGGAGUCUGCAACUCGACUCCAUGAAGUUGGAAUCGCUAGUAAUCGCGGAUCAGCACGCCGCGGUGAAUACGUUCCCGGGCCUU
rnacentral:rRNA from 1 species